GAUUGAACCCAGGAUUACUCUACCAUUAAGCUAUAUCCCCAGCUCUUUUUAUUUUGAGACAGGGUCCCUCUCAGUUGCUCAGGCUGGCCUUCAAACUUGUGAUCCUUCUGUCUCCAACUUCUGAGUAGCUGAAACUACAGGCUGCUGCGCCAGCACAAUCAGUUUUAGUUUCUUUUUGAAGCUUUGUAAAGCUCUGCUGUUGGCUGAAAUGACUAUGAAGUAGCUGACUCUAGUUUUUACUGUUGCCUUGCAGAGGGCCUGAUAUGCAACUUUAUAACAUCCUGCUAAGUGAGGUUGACAGUUUCUUUUUACAAAGAAGUUCCCUGAGGUUGGACUUGGACGUUACUGUAGUCUCCCAGCUAGGGAGAGGCAGGCUGGAACCCCACCUGCUCUCAACCACUUGGUUUAAUUUCUAGUAAGUUCAUUUGUCCUUGACUAGUGUUUCAAGUAUUCAAGAUAGGGAAGAGGGUGGAUCUUGAAGAUCUUGAGGUACUCAGAAGGGGAGAAACAAAGGAGAGCGGCAAUGGAUGUGUUCAUCCUUUAACAAAGCUUAGAGGUGUCAGCCACUGUUUAUCUGUUGUACUUCUUUAAGUCUCAUAGCAACCCUAGAAGGUGGGUACUAGCAUUCUCUCCAUGUUCAAAAGGGGAAACUGAAGCAAAGGGGAUUAAGUCACUCAACCAAGUUCACACUGCCAAGAAGUGACCGAACUGGGAUUUGGACUCCUGCUCUCAGGUCCUCUACUCAGCAGGGAGGAACCCUGGAGAACAGAAGACCAGGACAGGAGGAGCAGGUCCCUGAGGCUCAGGUGUGGAGAGGUAGAGGAGCUGACAUAAGACCUGAUGGGCUGAAGUAGUAUCAGGUUCAGAACGUGGGGGAAUCCUGAUUCUGAUGCUCCAAAUCACUCACUUCUGAUUUUUUUCUUUCAUGGACCAAGAAAAUGACUUCAGAAGAAGACCCAGCAGCCACCCUAGAUGCUUGCGCUGGCAACUGUGGGCCCCGAAAGAGGCCAACCUCCACAUCAUCCUCACCAGAGCCCCCAGAGUUCAGCACUUUCCGGGCCUGCCAGUGAGGCUGAGGAUUGGGGAACACUUCUAUUCAGCCCUGUCCCUCCACCUGCCUGAGCCUUUCCGGGGCCUGAGGUUCCCUUCAGCUACUUCAGGGGUGACAGGGGUUUAUGUUCCCUGGCUGCUACCUUCUCAGGGAGUUGAAGAGAGAUGAAGGGGUCCUCUGGCCUUGGGACCUUGCUCAUAGAAGAGUGGGAGAGGGGAUGAAGGCAAUGGCAUGGAGGCUGAGCCCAAAGCAGGAAGCCCUUCUGUGGAUUCCUCCUUCUCAAGACCAUCAGGGAAGAUGUCUGGAUUUCUUCUGGCCCCCCAGCUGGGCAUAAGAGGUCCACACUCUCCACGCUGUGCCCCCCAGUUCUUCCAUUUUCAGUCACUCUGAUUCAGGUACCUGACUUCCCAACUGGGUUUUUGAGCUCAGGGUUGGGGGGAUGUUCUGUGUGUUCCCCUUUUGGCAUACCUAAGUUAUUAAUUAUAACACAUGUUGAGGUGGUCCCAAGGUCUUUCUGGUGUGUAAUCCUUCAAACCUGGGACCUUCGGCAUCCAACUCUUGGACAGCUGAGGGUGGUAGCAUGCCCAAAUCCAUGAUGUUUAAGGUACCCCUGAACUGAGUCAGGAUGGUGUAGGAGACCUAUGAGGGGUUUUGUGAAGAGAGGGGACAACAACACAAGGUUGUCCCCUGCUAGGUUCCUUCAACUGUGGGGGAACAGGAGGUAGAAUGAUGUUGUGUAGGGGUAAAGGGGUAUUGGGGAAAA
rnacentral:lncRNA from 1 species